UCCUUCGCGCUGGCCGCCUCCGUCCCUCAUGUCGUCCUUGCACCGCGGGCCACCGUCCUCCUUCCUCCGUGCUGGCCGCCUCCCUCGAGGCCGAGCCGCCUCCCUCCAUCGUGCGUGUCCCUUCUCUGUCCUACCGACGCCGGCAACAUCGAGGAGAUGACGCCCGUCAAUGAGUGGACCUCGCCGGCGUGCAGCUCGGCGUCGGUUAGGAAGAGAAUGGUGCCAGGCUGGUGACAGCCUGUUGGAUCUUCCUCGCCAACAGGUGUGACCCUCUUCCCAGAUAGCCUGUUCCCACAUGUAUGUACACCUGAACUCAACGUGUUCUGUCUUGCUGUUUCUCAAGCUGAGCCGACAGAUCAGUUUGUGCUGAGAUGAUGCGCACGUACAAGUAGCAAGCUAGCAAUCAAGUGGAUGCUUCCGUGGAAGCUAUCUUUUUAUCUACGACUUGAUCGAUUGAUUUGAUCUCAGCGGAACAACACACACGAACAAAUGUGAUCUUGAUGGCUAAUAG
rnacentral:lncRNA from 1 species